rnacentral:rRNA from 1 species
CAGCAGCCGCGGGAAUACGUAGGGUGCGAGCGUUAAUCGGAAUUACUGGGCGUAAAGCGUGCGCAGGCGGUUAUAUAAGACAGAUGUGAAAUCCCCGGGCUCAACCUGGGACCUGCAUUUGUGACUGUAUAGCUAGAGUACGGUAGAGGGGGAUGGAAUUCCCCGUGUAGCAGUGAAAUGCGUAGAUAUGUGGAGGAAUACCGAUGGCGAAGGCAGCCCCCUGGGAUAACACUGACGCUCAUGCACGAAAGCGUGGGGAGCAAACAGGAUUAGAUACCCCAGUAGUCCCUGUCUCUUAUAC